rnacentral:tRNA from 2 species
GGGGUAAUAGUGUAGCUUGGCCUAUCAUCUGUGGUUUGGGACCAUAGGACCGCGGUUCAAAUCCGCGUUACCCCG